GACGAACGCUGGCGGCGUGCUUAACACAUGCAAGUCGAACGGAAAGGCCCUGCUUUUGUGGGGUGCUCGAGUGGCGAACGGGUGAGUAACACGUGAGUAACCUGCCCUUGACUUUGGGAUAACUUCAGGAAACUGGGGCUAAUACCGGAUAGGAGCUCCUGCUGCAUGGUGGGGGUUGGAAAGUUUCGGCGGUUGGGGAUGGACUCGCGGCUUAUCAGCUUGUUGGUGGGGUAGUGGCUUACCAAGGCUUUGACGGGUAGCCGGCCUGAGAGGGGGACCGGCCACAUUGGGACUGAGAUACGGACCAGAGUCCUACGGGAGGCAGCAGUGGGGAAUAUUGCACAAUGGGCGGGAGCCUGAUGCAGCAACGCCGCGUGCGGGAUGACGGCCUUCGGGUUGUAAACCGCUUUCGCCUGUGACGAAGCGUGAGUGACGGUAAUGGGUAAAGAAGCACCGGCUAACUACGUG
rnacentral:rRNA from 1 species